rnacentral:rRNA from 1 species
GACGAACGCUGGCGGCGUGCUUAACACAUGCAAGUCGAACGGAAAGGCCCUGCUUUUGUGGGGUGCUCGAAUGGCGAACGGGUGAGUAACACGUGAGUAACCUGCCCUUGACUUUGGGAUAACUUCAGGAAACUGGGGCUAAUACCGGAUAGGAGCUCCUGCUGCAUGGUGGGGGUUGGAAAGUUUCGGCGGUUGGGGAUGGACUCGCGGCUUAUCAGCGUGUUGGUGGGGUAGUGGCUUACCAAGGCUUUGACGGGUAGCCGGCCUGAGAGGGUGACCGGCCACAUUGGGACUGAGAUACGGCCCAGACUCCUACGGGAGGCAGCAGUGGGGAAUAUUGCACAAUGGGCGGAAGCCUGAUGCAGCAACGCCGCGUGCGGGAUGACGGCCUUCGGGUUGUAAACCGCUUUCGCCUGUGACGAAGCGUGAGUGACGGUAAUGGGUAAAGAAGCACCGGCUAACUACGUG